GUUUAAUUGAAAAUUAUUCUACCUAAUAAACACAUUUGUAUUCAGACUUGCUUAAACAUACAUCAUAUAAAGUAUUUGUUGUAAGCUGGAAAAGCCUAAGAAUUUUCAUAAAAGAGGGCGACCACUUUUAAAAUCGAGAACUUCCUAUUUGAAUCAGUGGACGAUGGCGAAACUAAUCUUGGAAAAGGAUCUUUCGGGCAUGUGAUAAAAGUCCGGCAUAAGUUAGACCAACAAAUCUACGCCAUGAAGAAAAUUUCGAUCGCACUCCUAACAAAUGAUAUGUUGGAUGAAAACAAUUUGCAAAAGUUGCUGGACGAAUUACAACUCCAGAGCCAAAUUAACAGCGAAAACGUCGUAAAAUACAUAACCAAUUGGAUGUAGGGCGACAACGUAAAGGAAAAUAAGGCGAUGAAUCAACGGAGGACAUGGGUGUUGAUUUUGAAAACAAAGGCUAAUUUUCUUUUUGGGUCAAGCUUUCGACAAUGGAAUUCUUAUCAUCGUCAAGAUAUAAAAUUAAUAUUGCUUAAUAUUAAACUAGCCAAACUUCUAAAUUUCCCAUAUUACUCGCUAGUCUAUAACCAGCGAAUUCACUUUUGGAAUGGGUAAAAAAGUUUGUU